AUUGAACGCUGGCGGCAGGCCUAACACAUGCAAGUCGAACGAGUGGCGGACGGGUGAGUAAUGUCUGGGAAACUGCCUGAUGGAGGGGGAUAACUACUGGAAACGGUAGCUAAUACCGCAUACCAUCGGAUGUGCCCAGAUGGGAUUAGCUGGUAGGUGGGGUAACGGCUCACCAAGGCGACGAUCCCUAGCUGGUCUGAGAGGAGGAGCAGCCACACUGGAACUGAGAAACGGGCCAGAGUCCUACGGGAGGCAGCAGUGGGGAAUAUUGCACAAUGGGCGCAAGCCUGAUGCAGCCAUGCCGCGUGUAUGAAGAAGGCCUUCGGGUUGUAAAGUACUUGCAGCGGGGAGGCGUUACCCGCAGAAGAAGCACCGGCUAACUCCGUGCCAGCAGCCGCGGUAAUUC
rnacentral:rRNA from 1 species